rnacentral:rRNA from 1 species
UACGUAGGGGGCUAGCGUUGUCCGGAAUCAUUGGGCGUAAAGCGCGUGUAGGCGGUCCGGUAAGUCCGCUGUGAAAGUCGGGGGCUCAACCCUCGGAUGCCGGUGGAUACUGUCGGGCUUGAGUACGGAAGAGGCGAGUGGAAUUCCUGGUGUAGCGGUGAAAUGCGCAGAUAUCAGGAGGAACACCAAUUGCGAAGGCAGCUCGCUGGGACGUUACUGACGCUGAGGCGCGAAAGCGUGGGGAGCGAACAGGG